UACAGAGGUCCCGAGCGUUGUUCGGAUUCACUGGGCGUAAAGGGUGCGUAGGUGGCUUUGCAAGUCUGAUGUGAAAUCUUCAAGCUCAACUUGGAAACUGCGUCGGAUACUAUUCGGCUAGAGGAAUGGAGGGGAGACUGGAAUACUUGGUGUAGCAGUGAAAUGCGUAGAUAUCAAGUGGAACACCAGUGGCGAAGGCGAGUCUCUGGACAUUUCCUGACGCUGAGGCACGAAAGCCAGGGGAGCAAACGGG
rnacentral:rRNA from 1 species